rnacentral:lncRNA from 1 species
CUAGAUACUAAAAGAAAAAUAUUAAAAAUUCUAGAUUUCAAAGAUGUACUCGUGAGGAGUACGUAAAGAACUUAUGAAUGAAUCACUAUCUUGAUCAUUCUUACAACCAAGUCUAGAAACAUAUAUACUAGACAAUCUAGACUACAAAGAAUGUACUUAUUAGAAGUACGUAAAGAAUGUACUCAUAAGGAGUACGUAAAGAAUGUACUCACGAAGAGUACAAACAACCGAUUCUAAAACCUAACUAAAACACUCGUGUAUUCUCUUCAGCCCUCGGUUUUUUAUUUCGUAGAAUCGAUCAAUUUCCUUGAGUCUUGAAGUCGGUAUUUAUAGACAUUCCAAGCUUCCACUACUCAGCCCAUGAUCUGCAAGAAAACCAACCACAAGAGCACUCAAGAAAAUGGGUUAGUGGGUUAGUUUAAGGAGUUAGAAUAAUAUUCACAAUUAAACCCACUUAAGCACUACUUAACCCACUAACUACUAUACUUAACCCACUAAGCACUACUUAUUUAAUAAUUAAAAUUUAG